ACUCCUACGGGAGGCAGCAGUGGGGAAUAUUGCACAAUGGGCGCAAGCCUGAUGCAGCCAUGCCGCGUGUAUGAAGAAGGCCUUCGGGUUGUAAGCACUUUCAGUUGUGAGGAAGGUAGUCGCUAAUAUCGGCUAGCUGUGACGUUAGCAACAGAAGAAGCACCGGCUAACUCCGUGCCAGCAGCCGCGGUAAUACGGAGGGUGCGAGCGUUAAUCGGAAUUA
rnacentral:rRNA from 1 species